CUUUUUUAAUAGUUUGUUUGGUUUUAUUUAUAGGCUUGGAAUUUGAAGUAGUUCAAAAACAAAACAAACCCUAAAAACAAAUAAACAAAUCACAAUCAGAAAAGCAAAAUGAAACAAAAUAGUAAGACCAGACUCUAGAAUCUUCGUCCAAACCCUUCAGUUACCAGAGAAACCAAAAACGCCCAAAUCCCUUCCUUGUUCAGACAAUCGAAGAAGCAGACAUGGGAGGGGGAUUGAGGUUUGCCUUCAGACACAAAUGUAGUAGAAUCCUCAAGCCAGAGACAAUAAUAUAGUCAAGAAGAGCUACGAUGGUUGCUGGAAAUGAUGGUCGGAAUCUGCUAACUCACUAACUCUCGACAGUGCAUCUUUAACCCAUAUGUGGUUUUCCAAACUUCUCAUCGCCAUUGCAUGCGCAGCUGAGUUUCCUCCUCUGGCAACAAACUCGAAUCGACAAGCUAAGAAGUUCCUUGCUAGAACCCUCACAUCCCAGCCCAUUUCUUUUGCGAACUAGAGACCAUGAAGAAUUGCAGUCGCUUCAACCAUCACAACCGACUUGACCAAGUCAUGAAUUCUAAAACCAGAACCUAUUGUUUGGACUUCUUCAUCUCUAAUAAUGAAUCCUGAAACAACUUUCUAUUUUGAAAUUGAAUACCCUGCAUCCACAUUUACCUUGACCCAACUUGGAGGUGGAGGGACCCAGUGAAUCAUGGCUCGAGGGUUGGGAUGCUGUAGAGUUGAUGAAAGAUCCUGAUACUCCUUUCUAUAACCCCUGAUGAAGCUGUAGGUAUUAUUGCGGGGCAAUCCAUUGGAGAACCGAGAACGCAACAGACAUUAAGAACUUUUCAUACAGGCGGAGUAUUUACAGGGGUGCUGCAGAACAUGUAUGAGCCCCUUUUAAUGGAAAAAUCAAAUUCAAUGAGGAUUUAAUUCAUCCUACAAGCACACUUUACGGGCAUACUGCUUUUUUAUGUUAUCUGGACUUGUAUGUAAUUAUUGAGAGUGAAGAUAUUAUACAUAAAGUGACUAUUCCACCAAAUACUUUUCUUUUAUGACAUUAAUGCCGAAAACAAAAACGUGUUCCUAACAAAAGCCGGCCUUUAAAAGGAAGCGCUAACCUAUUUUCAGCGCAUGCCGAUGACAAGUGGCCUUUAUAAAAAUUGUCUUUGCUAGCCGGUGCUGGUGCAUGGUUCUGUUGAAUCAGUUUAGUGGGUUGUGCACUCUACCUCUGGUGGUCAAUGCUAAUGCUGCUGUCAGUAUUUCCGCCCUGAAAUUCGUAGUAAUGCUUAUGCUGCUUGUAAAUGCGUGGAUACUCCUCAAGUGCCUUUCGUUGCUGAUGCUAAGGCGGUUCCUGCAUUGGAGACUCCUCAAGUUUCAGUGUUUGCUGAUACUAGGCUGUUCCUAAGUUGGAGGCUCCUCAUGCUCCGGCAUUUGCUGAUCCUAAGGCUGUUCUUGCGUUGAAGGCUUCUCAACUUGUGCAGGUUCUUCAAGUACAAGAAUCAAUUGAUAAUAUUCUGUCAAUGUUUUGGAGAUUAUCACUGAAGAGGAUGCUUUGCUUGCUCAUGUCGUGACAGAGGUCAAAUGACUUAAUGAUUCUUUCUUCAGGACUGGUCAAGUUUCUAAUGAUAAUAUUUUAUUCAUGUUAGCACCCUUCUCAGAAACCAAUUUGAACAAAAUGUUGUAUUGGAUCCCUUUGAAUAAAGAUAUUAUAAGAUAUAUAUUCAACUAGUCUGCAUUUGGUCAA